rnacentral:rRNA from 1 species
CAGUUCGGUCCCUAUCUGUUGUGGGCGUUUGAAGUUUGAGAGGACCUGACUCUAGUACGAGAGGACCGAGUUGGACAUACCUCUGGUGUAUCUGUUGUGGCGCCAGCUGCAGCGCAGAGUAGCUAUGUAUGGAUGAGAUAAGCACUGAAAGCAUCUAAGUACGAAACUCACCUCAAGAUUAGACUUCAUUGAGAGACGUUAUAGACGAUGACGUUGAUAGGUCGCAAGUGUAAAGGCAGUAAUGUCAAAGCUGAGCGAUACUAAUUACUCGAAAGCUUAUUCAA